GUGGGUGUACCAGGGGUGUGGGGCCUUCAACUAACACGAGAGCAAUACCUGUGUGGGUAGUUGGGAAAAAAAAGGUCUAUCAGAAUGAUUCAGUUUACUGCUUAAUAUGUUUCUCAAAAACCGCAGUGGAGAUUUUACUCUAUGAACACAAGGGAGUAACAAUAAACCCACCAAUGGCUUUGAACCAGCUGGAGGCAGCGACGACGCACGAAAAUGGACCUUGUCCGAGUCAUCCGAAGCGAGAUUUAUACUUUAUUUGAAAUGAAAGCAGUGCCUCCUGGUUACUGAAACAUGACAAAUCAGAGGGAGAGUGGAAGAAAAGCCAUUUAUCAAAAAGUUGGAGUUGACAGCUGUUUUCUUUUUUUCAGUGUCGUACCUAGGCCAGUUCUUGAAGCAGUCAAGCCAGUGACGCUCCAUGGCUACUGAUGAAUGCUUGAAGCAUCAUAGAAAAGAUGGAUUGUGUGGGUGAGAUGGAAACGGACUGGGAAAGAUCAGCCUGUCACUAUGUAUUGUCAUCUUGUAUUGAGAGGAACAGUGAGCUGAACCCAUGAUCAAAUUAGUCUAAUCUGUGGACAUUUUUAAUUAAAUCAAAUAUGUAGUAGUAGAAUACACCCCACACAGUUAAUAUUUGUUUAAUAAAACAGUUUUUUC